rnacentral:rRNA from 1 species
CUCGAGGCCAGAUCUUUCCGGUUGAUCCUGCCGGACCUGACUGCUAUCGGAUUGAUACUAAGCCAUGCGAGUCUUUGUAGCAAUACAAGGCAGACGGCUCAGUAACACGUAGUCAAUCUACCCUAUGGACGGGGAUAACCUCGGGAAACUGAGAAUAAUACCCGAUAGAUCAUUAUGCCUGGAAUGGUUUAUGGUCGAAAUGAUUUAUCGCCGUAGGAUGGGACUGCGGUCUAUCAGCUUGUUGGUGAGGUAAUGGCCCACCAAGGCUAUAACAGAUACGGGCUCUGAGAGGAGAAGCCCGGAGAUGGGUACUGAGACACGGACCCAGGCCCUAUGGGGCGCAGCAGGCGAGAAAACUUUGCAAUGUGCGAAAGCACGACAAGGUUAAUCCGAGUGUUUUCUGCCAAAGAAAUCUUUUGUCAGUCCUAAAAACACUGAUGAAUAAGGGGUGGGCAAGUUCUGGUGUCAGCCGCCGCGGUAAAACCAGCACCUCAAGUGGUCAGGAGGAUUAUUGGGCCUAAAGCAUCCGUAGCCGGCCGUGUAAGUUUUCGGUUAAA